rnacentral:rRNA from 1 species
GGUGAACGCUGGCGGCGUGCUUAAGACAUGCAAGUCGAACGGGCUCUUCGGAGCCAGUGGCGCACGGGUGAGUAACGCGUAACUGACCUACCCCAAAGUCGCGGAUAACGAUUCGAAAGAAUCGCUAAUACGUGAUGUGCUGUCAGAUCCUGUUCUGCCAGUAAAGAUUUAUUGCUUUGGGAUGGGGUUGCGUUCCAUCAGCUAGUUGGUGGGGUAAAGGCCCACUAAGGCGACGGCGGAUCGCCGGCCUGAGAGGGUGGCCGGCCACAGGGGCACUGAGACACGGGUCCCACUCCUACGGGAGGCAGCAGUUAGGAAUCGUCCACAAUGGGCGAAAGCCUGAUGGAGCGACGCCGCGUGAGGGAUGAAGGUCUUCGGAUCGUAAACCGCUGAAUCAGGGACGAAAGACGCGAAAGCGGGAUGACGGUACCUGAGUAAUAGCACCGGCUAACUCCGUG